GCCAAGAUGGUGUAACGGCAGCACAAGGGAUUGUGGCUCCCUUAGUCUGGGUUCAAAUCCCAGUCUUGGCC
rnacentral:tRNA from 1 species